CAGGGAAGUUGUCCUCAAACUUUGGAGGGAAGAGCAGCUCCUCCCUGAGCCGCGUCAUGACGGCCAGGCGCUCCAUGCCCGUCCCAAAGGGCACCAGCAUCUCAAAGAACACCAGGCCCAGUGUGUGGCAGGCGUGUAGGCGGCCUGCUGCUCCUCCUCCUCCGCGAUGGUGGUGACCAGGCCGAAGUCACCCACCUUCACUUUGCCCUCCAAGGAGAAGAAAAUGUUGGACGGCUGCAGGAGAGACAGAGAGAGAAUUAGUUGUGGAGGUGCUGGGAGUGGUGAGCACAUCAGACGGCGCCCCAAUCACCUUCUCCCAAGAGACACAGAUGAAGACCAACGUGUACGAGAUCGACUAGACACGCUCCCCUUCCCUCGUGGCGCACAACUAUUAGAGGACUCAAGUUUAGUUCCCCGGGCCAAGUCUUGUUUAGUGACGCGACUGAGAGGUAGCCAAACCAGCCAGCCAGUCCAUCAGUCAGCCAGUCACACGUCAUCCUUAGCAUCUUUAGAGAACUGGUUAUUAUUUUCGAGGAACUCUCUACAUUCCUUCAUAUCAGACUUGUUUGUUGUUGAUGGUGAGGAUUAUUUUAGUGACUUAUUGGAGCUUUUGUGGUUAACUUAUUCUGUUUAUCUUGUGUUUCCUUGAUGGUUUAGUUGUCAGCCGUCUGUGUGAAGGCAGCCGGGGAAUAGUGUUGUGUUUUGUGGGUCUCUAUGCCGUACUAAAAGGGUUUGUGUCUGCUGCCUGCCCUGCCGCCCACCACCACUCCUCCCACCAUGCAGUUCUCCGUUAUUGAGUGUUAAAUUACUGCUCUUGUGUGUUUAUUCUAUUGACUCAAGUGGACUUUAUUAUUUUUUGCUUUUCCUUUUUACUUAAGAUUUUUAUUUUUCUUUGCUUUAUUAAUAAAUUUUGUUUUCUCACUAGCUGACUAAAUUUUUCUUUACUUUUCAAAUGGGGUGUACCAGAUUUUUCUUUUCUCUGGUAUUUACAAAAUUUUUCUUGUUUUCUGGAGUUUCCCAAAGUUUACUACAUUAUCUCCAACAUUUCCCCUUUUUUUUAUUAGAGAAACACAAUUGAACUACUUGCAAAUAAAUGGGGAAAAAUAAUUACACUAUCAGAAAAAUAUAAUUUUUUGCCAAAACUGCAGAAUUUAUAUUAAAAACAAACUUUAUAAACAGCAUGGAAACCAGGAUUGUCUUUUGCAUCUUGGGUAAGAGAAGAAUUAAUACAUUGUCCACAUCUGGGUUUCCUUCUCCUCCUCCUUUUCUUCCCUAUCAUUGCCCUGACACUUCCCUCAACCAUGUAUAUGCACAUCAUAUCCUUCCUAUCCAUACCAGACCAGCAAUCCUACAUGGGGCAGCCCAGACAGAGCACCACACACACAUGCACACACUCAGCCCUGUUGGCCCCUGGUGGAAAGAUCACCGCACACACCAUUCACACUCUCAGCCAUGGUGGAAAGGGAGUCUCAUGGACCACCCUCUUGCACCCCAGGAACCUCGGCACACCACAGUAACAGGGAACAGUCUCCUCUUAAUCUUUCCUCCUCCUCUUUUCUUUCUUCAUGUCCUCUCACACUCAUGUAUAUCCAUAUUAUCACAUCCUAUAUAUAAUUCUCCCACAUCAUUCUCAUCACCAGUGUUACCAUCACACACACACACACACACACACACACGUAAGAGACACUUCUGCCAGUCACUGCGAUCUCUUAUCUGGUGAAAAACAAUUCUGAUCUACUGUGCAAUGUUUGAUUAGGUGUAAGUCAUGAGAGGAGAGAGAGAGAAAGAGUGAGAGCAGGCUGGGUGGCCCUGUGGUGCAUACAGUGUUAUGUCAAUGCCAGAAGGUUGUGAGGUCACUCCUGGCUCCUUGCAAAUGUGUGGUGGGAGAGGUAGCACUGAUUGAUGCCACAACACUUUGCUGUUGUGUGUCUUUUAACUUACAAAAAGCUACAGACCCUUUCAUACUUUUUAUUUUGAGAGAACUGCAUGUGGUGUGAUACUGUUGGCAAGACCCUUUCGGACUUCCUAUUCUGAGAGAACGGCACCUGGUCAAAUAUUGUCAGCUUAAGAACAAAAGGCAAGACCAUUCCUUCCUUCCUUCCUUCCUAGGUUGAGAGAAUAAAACAGCACCUGCUCUAAUAUUAUCAGCUGGAGUACAAAAAGCAAUGAGCUCUUCCUUCUUUCCUAGGUUGAGAGAACACAGUGGUCUAUUAUCAGCUGGAGCACCACAUGAGCUGCUGGUGUACAAACAAUUAAUUUUAUAAAGAACAAGGCCAGGGUUGGAACACACGUCUUGAACAUGACGUUUUGUAAUUUACACUCUGCGUAAUGAGGCUGAAAAAACAAUUAACAAAGGAUUAACAUCAUUUAUCUGGGACGUGAGUCGUGGCCAUUGUGUGUGUGUGUGUUUCCACCUGACAUUUCUUGGUAACUGAGUAAGAGUAUUCACUGUAGGUAAGUUUGAAUUCAAGAGAGCUGACUGAAGUUUCCCUUAUUUCCAUCUGUUUGAUCCUUUAUACAUGUACAAAUCAAAUCAAGAUGGGUUUGGAUUCCAUGAGACUUUUUAUAACAGAGAGCUAAAGUUAAACUGAUGGCUAGGAAUAUUUGCUCCACUCCAAAAGGGUUUCAAUCUUAACUAGCUUUAUACUGUGAGUGAUAGAACAUUAAACCUUCUUUCAAGCCAGGUUUAGAUUCCAUAUGACGUUUUAUAACUGAGAACAAAUGUAAACUAAAAAGAAUAUUCACUUCACUCAAAAAAGGCAUCUGUCUUAUCAAACUUGCUUGUAUUUUGAAACACUUCUGCGCCAUACUUUCACUACUUUCAAAAGGCUCUAGUUAAAGUGAAAUGAGUUUUACGAAUGUUUUUUUAUGGUUCUAGUGAGAGAUUAACAACAUUUCUACAUUAUUAACAGGAGAAAUACUCUAGAGAACCUGGCUAAUCAUCUCUGUGGCCUUGGAAAAUAGUCGUGGUGAGAGAGCAAGGUGUUUCAGAAUGCUGGCCACUGUACUGUAAGUGUCAAAAUAUUCCAAGACAUUUUUAAGACCGGUUUGGAUUCUGUUUGACUCAUCACCAUUGUCAGUUCCCUUAUUUGCAAUCUCGGAGAUCCACAGUACUGUUUGUUGUAAGGGUGAGGAGCUGCUGUACAUAAGUGAAAUCUACGCGUUAGUAAAAGUUUCUAUUUUACAUGCAACGGUGCCACCUGCUCCAUAAUAUAAAGUAAGGCUGCUGUUGUAUUUCUUUGAGUAUUGUUUUCAAUAUAUAUCCCCCUAAAAUAAAGAAGUAAAGUUU